rfam:Bombyx mori DNA, contig: Bm_scaf2_contig2294, strain: p50T/Dazao, build 2, whole genome shotgun sequence.
CGAAGUCAAAUUGGUAUGGAGUUGGAACGUUUGCCUAUGUUUGCUGCUACGGGCACUGUUCCAAAUGCAUACAAAUUUGCGUUA